AGAAAUGAUUCACAUGAUUGUUCGUGAUUCGCAUUAAGACUGGCUUUCUAUAGUCUGUCAAAAUCCAGGCCAUGUUACGGAAGGCUAAAAACCAUUAAUAUAAUAAAUAUUCCAUAAUAGGCAACUCAGACUACUUUCCAUUAAUCUAUGUGCUAUAAUAAUUUCAUAAUUUCCUGCCUUGUUAAUAUAACAGAAACAUAUCUGUGGGAGAAAAAGCAAAAGAUUUUCAGUCUCAGAACAUUCUUUUUUUUCAGAACGAGGCAUUAGUCUUUUAUUGGAUCACAGGAGCAUGAAUAUAUGGAACUGUACUAUGUGCUAACGAGUGAAUAUGCCUAUCUACAAGUGCUAUGAUUGCAGACUAUUGAUCUGUUGGUCUAAAUAUUCAUCUUCAGGGAUUGGUCCUCAUCUACAUUAGUGAUCUCAACAUAUCAUUGUGCCUCCAGUUGAAAUAGUUCAUGAGGCUGAUGCCUGACAUUGCCAGUGAGUUGUUCAAGUAUAUAUUCAGACACGGAUUUACAUGCUCUAGGAAAAUAACACAUGAUAAAACCAGAAAUCCUACUCUCCAACAGUAGUGGCAGGGUUGUGAGUGUUUUAGUAAGUCUUGUUGGCCAUGAUUGGACUCACCUGGAACCUCCACCCACACACAUGGCCCAGCAGCUCUAUUUAAGCUCAGCCUGGGGGCCCUUAAGUUUUGUUUGAGCUGUGUUAGAGCAAUGUUAGUGUACAGCUUGGCAAUGCCUCUACCUGUUUGUAGAGCUCAUUAGUCCAGAUCUUAUCCUGAAGAUUCGUCUCCUGACUUCAGUCCUCUCUUGCUGCCACAGACCCACCUAUGUAGGAUCCUUGUCCUGACACAUGGAUUGAAUUAUUGACCUUGAAUCUGUCUCAUCACUAUAGCAUGGCCUGGACUCUUGCUUGAACCUGCUAUAUCCACCUUGUUCAGGAAUGCUGCUUUUCAGCCAGAUCAAUUUCCUGACCUGAUUCCCAGCAUUGAUACAAAACCCAAGAGGACCAGCACGACCAAGAAGGCAGAGCACAGAGGUGUGGCUGCCUUUUACAGGAAAGCGGGUGCAUGACUGACAAGGAAAAAGAAAAAAUAACUGGCAAAAUAAAUACUGUGAAGAGGAAGGAGAUAUGGCAGAGAGGAAAGUGCUGUGAUUGAAAAGGGCAAUGGAUCAGCAGAAGUUUGCUGCCUUUUUUUUUUCUUAAAGAAAAGAAAGAAGAUAGAUUGCUAGUUGUAAAGAGUGCUGCAGGGGAAACACUGGGGAUAUAACCACCUAAUUAUGAAUUUCCUGAAUGUGCAACAUGACCAGGAGCAACUGGACAGGAUUAGUGCUGUGUGUUUCAUCUCCAGCUGUUUCAUGAAUACCAAUCUACAAAAUCUUCCAAGAAGAACAUUUUUUUUUUUUCUGUGGCCCUACUUUUGGCUUUAACAAUGCAAGCAAUACUGCUUUGUUUUCCUUAGAGCCUGAACUGAAACAAGAGCUUUCAACAAAACAAAAGCAAAGCAAACCUACCAAGUCAAAGAACUGCACGGUCUUAAGAAGAUUUAGCUGAAAUAUUUGUAAAAUAUCAAAAGGAACAUCCUUCUCAUUGGCAAAAGAGGAACUAACACUGCAGAGAUGUGCAAUUGUGAGACAAUAAAUGAGAGUAUUUUCUUCUGG